UAGGGAAUCUUCGGCAAUGGGGGGAACCCUGACCGAGCAACGCCGCGUGAGUGAAGAAGGUUUUCGGAUCGUAAAGCUCUGUUGUUAAGGAAGAACGAGCGUGAGAAUGGAAAGUUCAUGCUGUGACGGUACUUAACCAGAAAGGGACGGCUAACUACGUGCCAGCAGCCGCGGUAAUACGUAGGUCCCGAGCGUUGUCCGGAUUUAUUGGGCGUAAAGCGAGCGCAGGCGGUUAGAAAAGUCUGAAGUGAAAGGCAGUGGCUCAACCAUUGUAGGCUUUGGAAACUGUUUAACUUGAGUGCAGAAGGGGAGAGUGGAAUUCCAUGUGUAACGGUGAAAUGCGUAGAUAUAUGGAGGAACACCGGUGGCGAAAGCGGCUCUCUGGUCUGUAACUGACGCUGAGGCUCGAAAGCGUGGGGAGCGAACAGG
rnacentral:rRNA from 1 species